rnacentral:tRNA from 1 species
GGCUCCAUAGUGUAGUGGUUUACAUGUCUGCUUUACAUGUAGAAGGUCCUGGGUUCAUGCCCUAGAUAGAGCCA